AGCUGUGCAUGAGCAAGAGAGUGCACGGCUCCCAGCAGUCCUGGACCUCAAGAGCCUCCGCCUCGACCCAGACCUGGUGGCUCAGAGCAUCGACGUGGUGCUGAGCCAGCGCAGCUGCAUGGCCGUGGUGCUGAGGAUCAUCGAGGAGAACAUCCCUGAGUUGCAGUCUCUCACCCUGGGCAGUAACAAGCUGUACCGCCUGGACGAUUUGGCCGACCUGGCCCUCAAAGCCCCCGGGCUCAAAGUGCUCGACCUGUCCCGAAGCGAG